AAACCGCUUAGGGGUUAAGCCCGAUGAACCCGAAUAUCUGAUGUGAGAAAUUCAAUAUUGUUUAUGUUAUUUUUUAAAUGAUAUGAAUAGUAUGCACUUUUCUCAUAGUAAGACAUUGUAAUCCAUUGAUGCUAUAUCUUUCUGAGAUGAUCUAACAUACGAACAAAAUGAAAAUGCUUAUUCUAUCUGUGAUGUGCUUACAUAUCAUACGAAUAAAAUUCGUUUUGUAUCUGUUUAGAUAGUCGAUGGAUUGAAUGAAAGUCAUGCUUGCAAUUUAUUUGCGUUUCGUAUUGUCAAUUUUUAAUUGAUAGUAGCAGAAAUGGCAUGUACUUGAUUAACAAUGCGAUAGAUUUGGGAUGCCCUCGGGACCCGUCUUGAAACACGGACCAAGGAGUUCAACAUAUGUGCAAGUCACUGGGUAUUUUGUUGAAACCUAAUGGCGUAAUUAAAAUGACUAUAUUUUAAUUUGGGAUCAAAUGUUUUGUUCAAAUUUUUGCAUUACUUUUCAAUCCCGGGGCGUUCUAUACGAACAUGAUAUAAGCAAUUAUGUCCUCUGUUCAAGAGCGUACCUUGAGCACAUAUGCUGU
rnacentral:rRNA from 1 species